rfam:Glossina austeni unplaced genomic scaffold Scaffold53, whole genome shotgun sequence.
GGAACCAAAAAAGAUGUCAUCCCAGUGCCCAGACACUGGGAUCCAGAAAAUUUAAUUGCAAAUGAACACACUAAGCAAUUGCAUAAUAAAAACUGGAUUCCAGUGUCAAGCACUGGAAUGACAAAUACUCCGAGUU